UGAUUGCCCAGGAUGCCUUCGGUCAGCGGGACCUCGGGGUGCAUGCCAGGCCCAGGGAGCAGUGUAGCCUUGAAGGGGCGCGAGCCGCCCGGCCUGCUCCCUGUCCCGCCGUGGACAGUGCAUCGGCCCCGGGGAGAGAGAGGCGCUGAUUUCCCAGGAGACCUUCGGUCAGCGGGGCCACGGGUUGGCAGCCAGGCCCAGAGAGCAGUGUAGCCUUGAAGGGGCGCGAGCCGCCCGGCCUGCUGGGUCGUGACCCGCCGUGGACAGUGCAUCGGCCCCGAGGAGAGAGGGAGGCGCUGAUUGCCCAGGAUGCCUUCGGUCAGCGGGACCUCGGGGUGCAUGCCAGGCCCAGGGAGCAGUGUAGCCUUGAAGGGGCGCGAGCCGCCCGGCCUGCUCCCUGUCCCGCCGUGGACAGUGCAUCGGCCCCGGGGAGAGAGAGGCGCUGAUUUCCCAGGAGACCUUCGGUCAGCGGGGCCACGGGUUGGCAGCCAGGCCCAGAGAGCAGUGUAGCCUUGAAGGGGCGCGAGCCGCCCGGCCUGCUGGGUCGUGACCCGCCGUGGACAGUGCAUCGGCCCCGAGGAGAGAGGGAGGCGCUGAUUGCCCAGGAUGCCUUCGGUCAGCGGGACCUCGGGGUGCAUGCCAGGCCCAGGGAGCAGUGUAGCCUUGAAGGGGCGCGAGCCGCCCGGCCUGCUCCCUGUCCCGCCGUGGACAGUGCAUCGGCCCCGGGGAGAGAGAGGCGCUGAUUUCCCAGGAGACCUUCGGUCAGCGGGGCCACGGGUUGGCAGCCAGGCCCAGAGAGCAGUGUAGCCUUGAAGGGGCGCGAGCCGCCCGGCCUGCUGGGUCGUGACCCGCCGUGGACAGUGCAUCGGCCCCGAGGAGAGAGGGAGGCGCUGAUUGCCCAGGAUGCCUUCGGUCAGCGGGACCUCGGGGUGCAUGCCAGGCCCAGGGAGCAGUGUAGCCUUGAAGGGGCGCGAGCCGCCCGGCCUGCUCCCUGUCCCGCCGUGGACAGUGCAUCGGCCCCGGGGAGAGAGAGGCGCUGAUUUCCCAGGAGACCUUCGGUCAGCGGGGCCACGGGUUGGCAGCCAGGCCCAGAGAGCAGUGUAGCCUUGAAGGGGCGCGAGCCGCCCGGCCUGCUGGGUCGUGACCCGCCGUGGACAGUGCAUCGGCCCCGAGGAGAGAGGGAGGCGCUGAUUGCCCAGGAUGCCUUCGGUCAGCGGGACCUCGGGGUGCAUGCCAGGCCCAGGGAGCAGUGUAGCCUUGAAGGGGCGCGAGCCGCCCGGCCUGCUCCCUGUCCCGCCGUGGACAGUGCAUCGGCCCCGGGGAGAGAGAGGCGCUGAUUUCCCAGGAGACCUUCGGUCAGCGGGGCCACGGGUUGGCAGCCAGGCCCAGAGAGCAGUGUAGCCUUGAAGGGGCGCGAGCCGCCCGGCCUGCUGGGUCGUGACCCGCCGUGGACAGUGCAUCGGCCCCGAGGAGAGAGGGAGGCGCUGAUUGCCCAGGAUGCCUUCGGUCAGCGGGACCUCGGGGUGCAUGCCAGGCCCAGGGAGCAGUGUAGCCUUGAAGGGGCGCGAGCCGCCCGGCCUGCUCCCUGUCCCGCCGUGGACAGUGCAUCGGCCCCGGGGAGAGAGAGGCGCUGAUUUCCCAGGAGACCUUCGGUCAGCGGGGCCACGGGUUGGCAGCCAGGCCCAGAGAGCAGUGUAGCCUUGAAGGGGCGCGAGCCGCCCGGCCUGCUGGGUCGUGACCCGCCGUGGACAGUGCAUCGGCCCCGAGGAGAGAGGGAGGCGCUGAUUGCCCAGGAUGCCUUCGGUCAGCGGGACCUCGGGGUGCAUGCCAGGCCCAGGGAGCAGUGUAGCCUUGAAGGGGCGCGAGCCGCCCGGCCUGCUCCCUGUCCCGCCGUGGACAGUGCAUCGGCCCCGGGGAGAGAGAGGCGCUGAUUUCCCAGGAGACCUUCGGUCAGCGGGGCCACGGGUUGGCAGCCAGGCCCAGAGAGCAGUGUAGCCUUGAAGGGGCGCGAGCCGCCCGGCCUGCUGGGUCGUGACCCGCCGUGGACAGUGCAUCGGCCCCGAGGAGAGAGGGAGGCGCUGAUUGCCCAGGAUGCCUUCGGUCAGCGGGACCUCGGGGUGCAUGCCAGGCCCAGGGAGCAGUGUAGCCUUGAAGGGGCGCGAGCCGCCCGGCCUGCUCCCUGUCCCGCCGUGGACAGUGCAUCGGCCCCGGGGAGAGAGAGGCGCUGAUUUCCCAGGAGACCUUCGGUCAGCGGGGCCACGGGUUGGCAGCCAGGCCCAGAGAGCAGUGUAGCCUUGAAGGGGCGCGAGCCGCCCGGCCUGCUGGGUCGUGACCCGCCGUGGACAGUGCAUCGGCCCCGAGGAGAGAGGGAGGCGCUGAUUGCCCAGGAUGCCUUCGGUCAGCGGGACCUCGGGGUGCAUGCCAGGCCCAGGGAGCAGUGUAGCCUUGAAGGGGCGCGAGCCGCCCGGCCUGCUCCCUGUCCCGCCGUGGACAGUGCAUCGGCCCCGGGGAGAGAGAGGCGCUGAUUUCCCAGGAGACCUUCGGUCAGCGGGGCCACGGGUUGGCAGCCAGGCCCAGAGAGCAGUGUAGCCUUGAAGGGGCGCGAGCCGCCCGGCCUGCUGGGUCGUGACCCGCCGUGGACAGUGCAUCGGCCCCGAGGAGAGAGGGAGGCGCUGAUUGCCCAGGAUGCCUUCGGUCAGCGGGACCUCGGGGUGCAUGCCAGGCCCAGGGAGCAGUGUAGCCUUGAAGGGGCGCGAGCCGCCCGGCCUGCUCCCUGUCCCGCCGUGGACAGUGCAUCGGCCCCGGGGAGAGAGAGGCGCUGAUUUCCCAGGAGACCUUCGGUCAGCGGGGCCACGGGUUGGCAGCCAGGCCCAGAGAGCAGUGUAGCCUUGAAGGGGCGCGAGCCGCCCGGCCUGCUGGGUCGUGACCCGCCGUGGACAGUGCAUCGGCCCCGAGGAGAGAGGGAGGCGCUGAUUGCCCAGGAUGCCUUCGGUCAGCGGGACCUCGGGGUGCAUGCCAGGCCCAGGGAGCAGUGUAGCCUUGAAGGGGCGCGAGCCGCCCGGCCUGCUCCCUGUCCCGCCGUGGACAGUGCAUCGGCCCCGGGGAGAGAGAGGCGCUGAUUUCCCAGGAGACCUUCGGUCAGCGGGGCCACGGGUUGGCAGCCAGGCCCAGAGAGCAGUGUAGCCUUGAAGGGGCGCGAGCCGCCCGGCCUGCUGGGUCGUGACCCGCCGUGGACAGUGCAUCGGCCCCGAGGAGAGAGGGAGGCGCUGAUUGCCCAGGAUGCCUUCGGUCAGCGGGACCUCGGGGUGCAUGCCAGGCCCAGGGAGCAGUGUAGCCUUGAAGGGGCGCGAGCCGCCCGGCCUGCUCCCUGUCCCGCCGUGGACAGUGCAUCGGCCCCGGGGAGAGAGAGGCGCUGAUUUCCCAGGAGACCUUCGGUCAGCGGGGCCACGGGUUGGCAGCCAGGCCCAGAGAGCAGUGUAGCCUUGAAGGGGCGCGAGCCGCCCGGCCUGCUGGGUCGUGACCCGCCGUGGACAGUGCAUCGGCCCCGAGGAGAGAGGGAGGCGCUGAUUGCCCAGGAUGCCUUCGGUCAGCGGGACCUCGGGGUGCAUGCCAGGCCCAGGGAGCAGUGUAGCCUUGAAGGGGCGCGAGCCGCCCGGCCUGCUCCCUGUCCCGCCGUGGACAGUGCAUCGGCCCCGGGGAGAGAGAGGCGCUGAUUUCCCAGGAGACCUUCGGUCAGCGGGGCCACGGGUUGGCAGCCAGGCCCAGAGAGCAGUGUAGCCUUGAAGGGGCGCGAGCCGCCCGGCCUGCUGGGUCGUGACCCGCCGUGGACAGUGCAUCGGCCCCGAGGAGAGAGGGAGGCGCUGAUUGCCCAGGAUGCCUUCGGUCAGCGGGACCUCGGGGUGCAUGCCAGGCCCAGGGAGCAGUGUAGCCUUGAAGGGGCGCGAGCCGCCCGGCCUGCUCCCUGUCCCGCCGUGGACAGUGCAUCGGCCCCGGGGAGAGAGAGGCGCUGAUUUCCCAGGAGACCUUCGGUCAGCGGGGCCACGGGUUGGCAGCCAGGCCCAGAGAGCAGUGUAGCCUUGAAGGGGCGCGAGCCGCCCGGCCUGCUGGGUCGUGACCCGCCGUGGACAGUGCAUCGGCCCCGAGGAGAGAGGGAGGCGCUGAUUGCCCAGGAUGCCUUCGGUCAGCGGGACCUCGGGGUGCAUGCCAGGCCCAGGGAGCAGUGUAGCCUUGAAGGGGCGCGAGCCGCCCGGCCUGCUCCCUGUCCCGCCGUGGACAAUGCAUCGGCCCCGGGGAGAGAGAGGCGCUGAUUUCCCAGGAGACCUUCGGUCAGCGGGGCCACGGGUUGGCAGCCAGGCCCAGAGAGCAGUGUAGCCUUGAAGGGGCGCGAGCCGCCCGGCCUGCUGGGUCGUGACCCGCCGUGGACAGUGCAUCGGCCCCGAGGAGAGAGGGAGGCGCUGAUUGCCCAGGAUGCCUUCGGUCAGCGGGACCUCGGGGUGCAUGCCAGGCCCAGGGAGCAGUGUAGCCUUGAAGGGGCGCGAGCCGCCCGGCCUGCUCCCUGUCCCGCCGUGGACAGUGCAUCGGCCCCGGGGAGA